rnacentral:rRNA from 1 species
UACGGAGGGAGCUAGCGUUAUUCGGAAUUACUGGGCGUAAAGCGCACGUAGGCGGCUUUGUAAGUAAGAGGUGAAAGCCCAGAGCUCAACUCUGGAAUUGCCUUUUAGACUGCAUCGCUUGAAUCAUGGAGAGGUCAGUGGAAUUCCGAGUGUAGAGGUGAAAUUCGUAGAUAUUCGGAAGAACACCAGUGGCGAAGGCGGCUGACUGGACAUGUAUUGACGCUGAGGUGCGAAAGCGUGGGAGCAACAGGA